CCACGCGUUUAGGGGUGCUAGGCUUUCAGACCUAGCUGAGAUGAUACCCAUUGAACCUGAUCCGGCUAGUACCGGCGAAGGGAACAAACGGUCCGCGAACGG
rnacentral:ncRNA from 2 species